rnacentral:rRNA from 1 species
UACGUAGGGGGCAAGCGUUGUCCGGAAUCAUUGGGCGUCAAGAGCGUGUAGGCGGCUCGGUAAGUCCGCUGUGAAAGUCCAGGGCUCAACCCUGGAAUGCCGGUGGAAACUGUCGAGCUAGAAUCCGGAAGAGGCGAGUGGAAUUCCUGGUGUAGCGGUGAAAUGCGCAGAUAUCAGGAGGAACACCAAUGGCGAAGGCAGCUCGCUGGGACGGUAUUGACGCUGAGACGCGAAAGCGUGGGGAGCAAACAGG